rnacentral:misc_RNA from 1 species
UCGUAGGCACUAUGGAUGACGUAUUUUAU